GUAGAUGAGUUUUGGCUGGUACAACCACUCUAUUGUCAACUUCUAAUAAACGUGAUUGACCCAAUUCUGGAUCAUCUUCUGGAAUCGUAUAACUGUCAAAAGUGAGUGACUGUUCAUCGGAACUGUUAUAGUCCGAAUACUCAUAAGGUUGGGUCGACGCCCGCCUCCCCCCAAACUUGACUUGCAAGUUUUCCCGCAAAAAGCUCUCCAACAAGCCUCAUCUCUCAUUCAACAACAGAUUGCCCCAAAAUUCAUAAACCCUGGUUGCCCAACCAUUGAAAUAAAAAUAGGAGAGACGAUCAUCCAGAGAGCUCUAUUAGAUUUAGGAGCCAGUGUGAACCUACUUUCCUACUAUGUGUACCAAAAGUUAGGUUUGGAAGAAUUAAAGCCUACAAAUAUUAUCCUUUCCUUAGCAGAUAGGACAGUGAAGUACCCUAAGGGGAUUGUAGAGGAUGUAAUAGUGAAAGUAAACCAGUUUUACUAUCCUGUAGACUUCGUUAUCCUUGAGACUGAACCUGCAAUACAUCCAGACAGUCACACACCUAUAAUUUUAGGUAGACCUUUCUUAGCCACAGCAAAUGUUGUGAUCAACUGUCGAAAUGGUAUGCUGAAGUUAUCUUUUGGCAACAUGAAAGUCGAGCUUAAUGUCUUCAAUAUAAGUAAACAACCACCAAGCGAUGAAGAAAUCAAUGAAGUUGACAUGAUUGAAAGUCUGGUUCAGGAGACUUUCUUACAAACAUAUAGUAAGGAUCCUUUAGAGGCUUACCUUGUCCAUUCCGAGGAAGGGGUCAAGCAUGCGCCCCUUAGUUCUGUUCCCCUUAUAAGUAUAGAUCGUCAUCAGCCGACUGUUCUUCAUCGGACUCUUCCAAAACCAUUCUUAGAUAAUGGUUGAAAAAAAAGGGGAUCUACAUUUUGUCUGGCUGAAGACAUAAAACUUAGCGCUCUUGAGAGACAACCCAACAUAUAAAUAUUAAAAAAUAAUAACAAUAUAUAUAUAUAAAAAUUUACUAACAUGCAGGUUUGGGGGUUUUUGGCCCCAAUUGUCACUUUACCCACCCAUAUCAGGUAACUUCUCCUCUGUCCUAUUACUGCAUUAAAUUUUCUUUAACAUUGAGGACAAUGUUAGAUUUAGGUAUGGGGUUGAGAAUAUUUUUGAUUUUUUAUGCAAAAAAAAUUAAAAUUAAAAUUAAAAAAAGGGAGUUCAAAUUUUUAACUCAAACUCGAAUCUUUUUGGCUGUACAAACUAGAAAUUGCUUUGACAAUNNNNNNNNNNNNNNNNNNNNNNNNNNNNNNNNNNNNNNNNNNNNNNNNNNNNNNNNNNNNNNNNNNNNNNNNNNNNNNNNNNNGAUUCAGUUUUCAAAACAUUGCAUUGCAUGGGGCCACACAAGGCAUUUGAAGCUGAAUACUUCUCUUCCAGAAACAAUUGCAUGUGACCUCCACCGGUUCUGGACCCACAAAUCUCUCUCUCAGCUACUCAUAACUAUACGAGCCCCACAGGCCACAGCUCCCCAACCAAAUUACGCAUGACCUCUAUCACUCUCCAGGCUCCAGCCUACCGAACCCACCUAAUCUCCAUAACCAUACGUGCUCUCCAAUUAAUUGACACGUGACCGCCAUUAGCAUCAUGGGCUCGAUCCAGCAGCCUAAAGAUCUCCCCCAUUGAAGUUGUUAGGUAGAGUACUUCAACCCAAAAAAAAAGCUAAAAGAUAAACCAGUCCGGCAGCUAGCUGCGGGCUUAUCAUAGUUUCCAGCGCAACAACCAAGAGGCAGUUUUGGGCUGACUCAAACUCUUUUCCUUCUUUUUAUUAAACUAAUUAAACACAAGCUUCUUAAUAUAUGACUUCUUCUACUGAUAUUAAUUUUCCUUAUAAACAUUGGAGGUUGCCGUUAUCAUGGAGAGUGAAGCGACAUAUUAAGUUUCAAGCAAAUAAGAAAGGUUUCCGUGGUGGUGCGUUGCUAUAUCCCAGAUACUGAACCCCCUGCAGACUGUUGCUUAUCAUUGUAACUAAAGAAAUCAACGAAUUCCAUUAUUUUCCAUUGUAAAGUAACAUUUUCCUGACAACUUUAGUUUUGUAUUAUAUUUCAUUGGUUAUCAUGAACUAUUAUAAAGAAAAAUAAUAUAUUAUCACAGCUCAGAUAUUUAAACGUUAUUCUAUCAUAUGCAUACGAAAUUUUGAAUCAGGAAAAUAUACGUUAUUAGAUCAACAGUGUGUGUAUCGUAUAAUUCCAUAGGCUGCAACAUAAUCCCAUGCCAAAAAAAAUGUACUUCCUAACCCAUCCAAUCCCCGCCCCUUUUUUCACCCAACACCAAAAAAAUAAUUUGAUUUUUUAAAAAAAAUAAAUAUUACUGAAAAUUUUAUAAAGAUGUCAUUUUAAGUUACUAUCAUUUUCGUUGGCCAUACAGUUUGAAGAAGCUAUUAGCAGUAGAGCUUUUGAAAGUAGAGCUUUUUGAAAUAGAGUUUUUAUAAAAAGUUGUUUACUCUUUGGUAACUACAUUUCUAAAGUAUUGUGGCACUUUAACAUAUUUUGGCAAACAAACUGAGAAAGUAUUUUUGUAUGAUAAAAUUACCAUAAAGGAUAUUGCAUAGUAUAUACAACAGAACAUAAUAAAAUAUAACAUAUAUUAAUACAUAAAUAUAUGAUAUAGUACAAUAUUAUUGUAAUAUNNNNNNNNNNNNNNNNNNNNNNNNNNNNNNNNNNNNNNNNNNNNNNNNNNNNNNNNNNNNNNNNNNNNNNNNNNNNNNNNNNNNNNNNNNNNNNNNNNNNNNNNNNNNNNNNNNNNNNNNNNNNNAGUAUAAUAUUAUGUUUUCUCAAAGUAAAUUUUGACUGUAGUGUCGGAGAGGGAGGAUAUACCGGAGGCGUCGGCUUCAUUAUCAGGGACCACGAGGCUCGACUGAGUGUAGCGGAAGGCUGGCGGAUCUUUGAAAAAGCUAAAAUAACUUUUCAAAAUUUUUACCGAACUGUCUUUUUUCAAAAGUACUUUUGGAGGAUCAGAAAGUGUUUUUUGACCCUCCAAAAGCUUUCCUAAACGAGGCCUUUGUCCUAGCAACACGAAAUAGCUUUUAGGCAUUGGUAUCUCACUCGGGACAUGCACCCGGCGAUAAUAUUUAAGACAUAUUUAUCAAACUAUUUGAAGAUGUAAUCUCCUCAAGACGUGAGGGUCACCCCUCAUCCGGCUCUCUGCAGGGGAAUCUCCACUCACUGCCUGACCCACUAUCAUGUAUGUCUAUGGCCAUGCCCAGAAUACUUUUUUUUUUGGGAAAAACAAAAUCCUUCUACACAUCCCCUCUCUCCUCCCUGACCCCCCACCACCUCAACCUCUCGUUCCUCUCUCUACCAACUAUCGGAUCCUCAUCGAGCUCCACGUGCUCAAGAUGAAACUGACCCAUUCCGACCUGCCCCUCACAUCUCGUCUUUUCUCGAUCGCUAGAUUGGCAGGAAUAAUGGAGGAGGGUUACGUGAGGAUCGUGACGGCGAGGAAGUUGAGAUACUUCCUCUUUUCUCAAGAGUAAAGAUGUGCAAACAAACGGCAUAGAACAAUUUAUUAAUAGCCUAUCCACUCGUCACUGAUGUUGUGCUCUUGUUUAUCCUACGAGACGACUAUAAUAAUAAUAUACCAAGAUUGAUAUAAUCAGCAUAGAACAAAUCAUAUAUGAACACAUCUGUCUCCUUUCAAGAAAAAGAAAAUGUAUGACUCCCUACAUCAGUCCACCACCAAGACAUACGGAGCGGGGUCAGUUGAGAAGGCCCGUGAUUAUGGAUGUUGCUGCAAUCAAAAUCCAGCCUAACAGGUUGGACGAGCUACUAUAUCUGCUUUAGAGUUAAAUCUCCAAUCUACAAACAAAAAAAAACACGGAAGGUUGCCGAAUUUGAACUGAUGGAGAUCAUCCAAUACCUAAGUCAAGCCAAGCCUUUAGAAAAUACUGAAAAUUUGAGAAAGCUAUGAAUGAAAGCAAGAAUAGCGUAGCAUAAGAAUAUCUGAAGGUCUCCUAAAUUUGAUAUAGAUAGGAAUGAGAGUGUAAAAUAGUUAUCCAAAAAAGUCAGGCACAUUGUAACCGCUGGUUGUUCAGUAACCGUCUGGUCGUGUAAUAACUGCUUAACAUGCAAAACAAGUUGUAAUCAUCCUGCAACGUGCCUCAUAAGUGUGUAGGGCUAUAAUUAUCCUUUCAAUGGAUUUUAAUCGCCUUAAAUGCGCUUUGAAUCGAAGACAUAUAGCUCGUAGCUAUUGGUUGGCCGGUCUAAUCGAAUGCUCUAGUCCGUAGCUUGACCGAUUGCUCUGGUAGACAACUUGAUCGAGUUUUUCUUCAUAGUGUCACAAACCAAUGAAUCUAGGCCACAUCACUUGCCUCCUACAUUCAAGUUCAAGCCAUGUUACUUGGUUUGGACCAAAGAAGUAGUUACAUUGUCCAAACCAAACCACCAAAAGGGUACACCGUCUUAACUUGGGUCAGGUCAAGAAAUUUCUGGAAAGCGGUAUAAAAUGUCCAAUGACCUUCUCGAGGCAAAACCAGGCAGGAUUUUCAACACGCCAAUUAGACUUCUUCAGGUGAUUUAAAAGGGUGAUCCGAGAAAUCAUCCAGAGGCAAAUACAGAGCUAAUACGUGGUGGCAGAUUGGGUCUGGUAGUUGUCUGUCACUUUGAUUGAAGCAUUCUAACCUUCUAUAUAAGGGAGUCGAAGAACCUCGCCUCCGGCUUAUUCACCUGCUCGGUUGCUCGAAGUCCUCUUUUAAUUCCCUCAUGUUAGCUCGGUAUUUGCAUCCGAAUGAUUGCCCAGAUCACCCUUUUAAAUUGCCUUGAAAAGCCUAACACACCGAAAAUCCCACCAGUGGAUAUUUUAUACUACUUUCUUGAAACUUCGACCAAAGUCCUGUGGGUGUACCCUUUUGGUGGUUCAGCUUAGACAAUGCGACUAUUUCUUUCGCCCAAACCAAGAAAAAUAGCUCGAACUCAAAAGUGAAGAGCAAGUGAUGUGGCUUGAAUUCGUUGACUUAUAAAUACCAAGCAAAGGAGUCGGCCAAGCUACCAACCAAAGCAUUCGACCGAGCAACUGACUAGAGCAUUUGAUCAAAUCGGUCGACCAGCAGCAACAAGCCACAUGUUUUCGAUUCAAAGCGCAUUUAAGACAGUUAAAGUCCAUUAAAAGAAUAAUUAUAGCCCUACGCACUUAUAAGGCAUGUUGCAGAACAGUUACAACUCGUCUCUCAUUUUAAGCAGUUAUUACACGGACAGACAAUUACUGCACGGCCAACAGUUACAAUGUGCCUGAUUUUUUUAGGUAACCGUUCUAUACUCUCAUCCCUCUAUAUAUCAAACCUAGAGAAUCUUCAGAUACGCUUAUGCUACGUCACUCUUGCCUACUCCACUCGUAGCUUUCUCAAAUCUCCACUAUUUCCUAAAGGCUUCACCUAGCUUAAGCAUCGAGAGAUCUCCCGCCAGAACAAAUUCGGCAAUCUUCAAUGUUCGCUUUCUUGUUUGCAAGUCGGACAUUUGACUUCAAGCAAGAUAGUUCGUCCAAGCCCCCAUAAGCAGCCACAUCCUCCUCUCCCUCCACCAUCUCGCCCUCCCCAUGGACGCCCCCACCUACCCCCUUCGCAUCUUCGUCGACUUUGACUCCUCCCGAGACAAUGACAUGAGAGACCUGAAACCGGCAUCUAUGGUUGGCAAGCGACAGGGGCACAAACUCCCCUGCCAUCGGGUUCAGUUUCAAGAGAAGCUAUUCCAAAUCCCUCGUCUCCUGCUUAAACCCUUCAAAGGACGGGGAGGCCACCAAUAGGCUCUGCCAUCCAUACCACUAACUAGCAAGCAUCCAUAUCCUUGGGGCCAUCGCGCCGAAGUCAUGGCUAGAGGACCCCACAUUCGCCCCGGGGCGGGGUCUACGAGGAGAGGUUCCCAAGAUAAGAGAGGUGUGACGCACAUGGUCUGGUGGUCUCUGGCUAAGAAAUAUCUAAAACUGGAUGGUCAGCUGGUGUAGGGCACACGAGAAUCGAAAAAACUCCUCAGACUAAGCCUGAGGGAUGGCUUCUGGAAUUGGCCAUGCAAUUGGCCACAGUAAGCAUUGUUGCUGCUAAGGCCUGCAUGUUGGGUCCACCUUAUCGUGGAAAUUGAGAAUCUUGAUGAGGAGAGGUCCCUUUUAUGCCAUCCACUGGAGCAUCUACAAGAGGUGCCACAGCAAGUUGUUGCUAGGACUGGGAGGAGGAGUCAUUUUUCUUCCCCUUCUCCUUCCAUGCAUCAGCCUCCCUCCCCUUGGAUCUCUUUUUCUCCUGCCAGAAUUAGAAUUUCUGAAACCCUAGAUUUUGGCGAAGAAGAGAGGAGAGAUUUAUCCACAUCAUAAUCAUUUUGUUAAAAAUAAAUCCACAACAUAUAACUAUCUCCACAACACCUUCCACAUAGGCACCGUCGGCGAGCUCUGACCCAGUUGGUAGGAAGGUGGACAACAUUGCAUAAAUCUAAAAAAUACAUGAUUAACACUACAACAAUUAAACAUGUAGCAGGAUAUUUGCAAAUUCAUGUUAAAUGCAGGAAAUUUUUUUUUUUAGGCUUAUAAAAUUUUUAUGAUAUUCUCAAACAAAUUUUCCAAUAAAAAAGGGGAGAAAAAAAUCUAAAAUGGGUCCAAAGACUAUCUAUAGCAAUUUUGUUUAACUAAAUCUCUUUCAAGCUAGUUUUCCCACCUUCAAAAUGGAUGCUGUUUAGCUCCAAAGGAUGGUCUGCAUGGUGGAUGCCCAAAGCUGAGAUCUUGCAAAUGAAUCAUUUGCGAGAAGCAAACCAGUUCACAAUGCCUUCACAUUAUAGUGGAUAUUACCGUAGUAAGGAGACCAAGUAACUCACUAUUGUAUAUUACUAGCGUAUAACCCACGUGAGAUAUGAGAUAUUAUCAUUUUUUUCAAUUAUUCUUAAAAUAUAAUAUAAUAAAUUAUAAUUAUAAAGGUUUCCAUAAUAAAAUUUCUAUUGUUUACUAAACAAUUAAUUUUGAUAAUAGUUGAACAUAAACUCUAAUAACUAAUAUCGACAUCAUUAAUAUCAAUGACACUAAUACUAACCUCGUGCGAUGGCAAGAUAUGAUCAUUUCUCCAGCGACCAAUUUGUCUGUUGGAGAGUAUCUAUUCAAUUGAUUGGCACAUGUUAUCGACAUCAAUCAAUUUGUUAGUGCCCCUCAUUGUGUUCAUUAUGCUACCAUCCUAUACUCUCUCCGGUACCUCCAUAGGACUCGUUGCUUCUCCUCCACUUUGAUUCUAUUUACAGCUUCAUACUAGAACUGCACAUGCCAUAUCAUACCAUACCAAAACAAAAUUUAUAAAAAAAAUAUGAAAAAUUAGAAAAACAAUUUUUUAAAUUUUAAAAAGAAAGGAUUUGACAAAUCUCAUGGCGGCCCAAUGCUAGUACUAUCCUGACAAUGUACAUGCCAGGUGGCAUAGGCCCACAUAUAAAACCUUGGCCUAAAUCGGACUUUUAGCAAUACUUGUAGCUUACAUAAUUUUCCAUUAUAGUUGUACUUUUUCCUCCAAAUGAGUAUGUAUGUUGACAACGUACAAAUAGAUCCUAGACAUUCAUCAACAAAGUUAGUCCGACUUUUCACUAGCAUUCAUCAACAAAGUUACUCAUGUCAGCUUUUUAUGUGAGGUCCUAAAAAUCUGUAAUACCAUAAAAGAUUAGGCUCCACACCUAUUUGAUUUGCCUGAGCCUCUAUAGACUUUCCCUCGAAGAUCUAUAUUUCUUCAUGUUGGAAUCCUCUGGCUACAGUCUCAUAGUUCAUUGCCCUGUCCUCUUCCAUUUUAGUACAUACAGCACAUCAUUGAUAUGCGUCCUUUCCUUGCAUCAUCACCGAAAAUUGAAGAAGCUGAUUUAAUUGUAAAGUGACGAUAAGUUGUAUCAUCCCCGAGAAUUGUUCCCUAAAUGUCGGUGCAAUGUAAAUAUCUCUUGCACUAUACUGAAUGAGAAUGUGAUGAGUCAAUUAGUGCCCAAAAGGAAGAUGACACUAAAGGUUUUCCAAUGGUAAAUAUAACAUUUUCAUCAUCCUUAAUCCUACAAAGGCCUCCAAGUCACCAUACCUCACAAGUAGCGCAAAAGCUCCAGCAUAGCCUGAACCGAACAGACUAGAAAGGGUCAUUUCUUUUGACAUUAAACUUGCUCGUCAGCCUCAUCUUUAUGGAACACAAGAUAGCAGCUCACUCUCUUCUUAUUUUUCUUGAUUAGUUAUCCAAAUCUCUCACAAGAAACCCUUUUUUUGUUCAAUUCAGUGGCUGAAGGAUGAGUUCUUCCUUAACUUGUUUUGACUGACUGACUAGAAAGUUACCUGACUCCUCAUUUCAAGUUUGGAAUGCGAUUGACCUUUAUAUCGUCUACCUCCUUCUCACAUGAGAAAUCGAAUUCGAUUUUGGCCAACCAGCAGAAACUUGAGCAAAGGCAACUUCCAAGUCAACAGGCACUAGCUUGACAGCCCGACCUCUCUUAGGAAUAGCCAAUGCCUUUCUUGAUUGGAGAGGUUCUCUUUGGUGGAGAAACUAUGAGCUUUUUGAAAAUGGUUGGAAAAAAAUAAAUGAAAUUUAAUGAGAGAGAUUCUAAAGAAUGUCCCAUCCCCCGCUUCCUUUUCCUACUUUAUUCUUAUAGAUGUGCACUUCUCUAUCUCCUUUACUUGUUUUUAUCAUUUGCUGCUCUUUUUUCUUCUCAGUUAUACAGAAAUUAUUAGUUGAAUCUGAAAUAAGCAUUAAAAAAAAAUAACUGAAUGAAUCGUUUAGUAAUUCUUUUCCUAAGAAAUCAUAAGGUAUGGUUUGUCAUUGCUUAGGUCCAAUAGCCUCUAUUUUCAAAGAAAAAAAAAAUUAUCCAAGUCAUGCUUGUACAAAUAUAUAAGAACCAUAUAAAGCACCACUCAACUCAGACCAAACUUCUGUUUCUAGUAGCUCUAUCUUUAUAUAAGAUUGUUAUGAGAAGAUGUUGAGUUCAUACAGAAUAUACAACUCAACUCAACUAAAACUUAAUCCCAAACUAGUUGGGGUUGACUAUAUGAAUCCUUUUCUACCAUUCCGCUCGUUUUAGGGCCAUACUUUCUGAGAGAUGUCGAGAUACCAAGUCCUUCCUUACUACUUCAUCCCAUAUGAUUUUCAGUCUACUUCUACUCCUCUUUUUUGCUAUAUGUAUCAAAUCACUCAUUAGUAUUGAUGCAUCCCUCAGCCUAUGUUGUAUAUAUCCUAACCAUCUAAGUCAUCCUUCUCUUAAUUUAUCCCUAACUGGUGCUAACUCCACCAUUUUAGCAGUAAUGCUCAAACAUAUAUUGACUAAACAAUAAUGUUGUUAUGUAAAUAGUAAGAAAGUGGCCAGACAAAAGAUAAAUGGAAAAGAAGUGGAUAAGCAUGUAGCUGCAUGACCACAAACCUGCUUUGCCGCUAGUGUGAUGAUUAUCUAUUUGCUGGAACAGUAAAUGAGCCUUGAGAAGGAAUGAGUCCACUUUGUGCUGGGUAUCUCAGAGAUGACACUACAAAUGAAAUGCCAAUUCACCAUGUUAAACAUUAGUUAAUAUAUAAAAGCAAACAAAACAAGAAAAGAUUGCACAAACAUCUAUAUCAAUGAGUCCUGACUGAACCUGAAAGCAAGCUAGCCAAUGAAUCAUGAUAUUCAACUCCUCCUGCAGUCACUAUCCUGCUCGAUGAACUUGCAUCUUUUCUCUUUUGAAUUCUUUCUGCUUCAUCCUGAAGUUCUUGCUGCUGCAUCUUUAUUUGUGCUUCAAAAACCCAAUGUUUUUCCUGCACAAUCCCGGAAAACCACAUGAAUGAAAGUCUCAUCUCCUUACCACCGUAAACAACAACAGUAAAACAUUUAUUCUUUCAAUUAAUAAGUAUAUUCAUUGAUGAACAUGACAUACAGGACCUUAUAAGUAAAAAUAGAAACCAAUUAUCUACGAACAACAAUUCCAGCUCCUAAUAGAAAAAUAAAAUGACCACCAACCAUGGCAAACUUGCAACUUGUUCCAAGCCCUUUUCCAUCUUUGACCUCACAACUCAAUAUUCCACAGUGUAGUUUCAGGUUUCGCAAAAGGGACACCUAAUAGUGUUAAGAAGAAAAGCUUUCUUUCUUUUUAACGAAAUAACAAACCAAAUUCAACGGAGCAAAAUAACCAAAAAGGAUGCUUUGUCUGGCAAGUAGAAUGAGGUGACUUCAUCUGCAAAAAACACUCUGCAAUGAGGAUAACAAUUUGAAACAGUUAAAAAAGACAAAAAGAAUAUGUAUACGAACAAAAGGGUCCAUAAAAUAAUUUACUGCCUCAAAGCCAAACGAUGGUACCUGUGUAUAUAACUUUCUUGCAACACCAUGAGCGAUUUAGUCUCGUACAAUACUAGAAAAUAAAUUUAAAUAUAAGAUUAGAAUGGUGUGAUGAAUUCAAUCACGCAGAUAUCAUAACAAGAUAAAUAAGAGACUCUUUUUUUCUUUUUUAUCAAGACUUGAUUACCAAUAACAAUAAUCGCAUCAUGAAUAAAAGAUCAAGGAUUAGAUAGCAGAAACGGAUGAAGAGAGAUCUGACCAGAAAGCAGAUGGGACACUCCUCAAGAUCGAGACUGCUCUCCUCUUCCAGAUUGGAGUCGAGAAUGAGCUUCCAGAGCUUCCUGGGAUCGACGUCCCGAUGCUGGUAAAGCCCCUGCGGCCUCGCGUACUUCUCAUCCACCACCGGUCUCCUCCCCCCAAUCUUAUUCCCCAUCACAAAAGAGAACAAGAACCCCCUUCGCACCCUCCCUCACUCCUGGAAUUCCCAAGCCAGCAACUCCAUCCCCCUCCCUCACUAAUGGAAUUCCCAAGCCAUUUCCGCACCGCANNNNNNNNNNNNNNNNNNNNNNNNNNNNNNNNNNNNNNNNNNNNNNNNNNNNNNNNNNNNNNNNNNNNNNNNNNNNNNNNNNNNNNNNNNNNNNNNNNNNNNNNNNNNNNNNNNNNNNNNNNNNNNNNNNNNNNNNNNNNNNNNNNNNNNNNNNNNNNNNNNNNNNNNNNCCUCAGAUCUAACCAAAAGACUUCGCUGAGAUCGGAAACCAGAAUGGAACAAGAAUCUUGAGAUAAAGAAGAGAGGAAGAAGAAGAGGAAGACCAAGAAACCAUAAAUCUUGAACGGAUCGAGCUCCGUCGCCAUGAGAACGAGGGAGAAGAGGAGAGAUCGAGAGACAGCUUCGGUGCCUCGUCGUUGCCGGAAAAGGAUGGGAGACACCGGAGGGGAACGGAGGACCAUCGGCAGCGAUCGGUGAUCCUCGUACGCGAUUCUUGGAAGCACCAGAAGGAUCGGGAAUGAGAGGGAUCGAGACACACAUUUACGGACCGUUCUUCGGUUUCAGAGCAUUCAGAAGCAGAAGCUCGCGCUUUCUCUCUUGCCUCUCAAUUCUGUGUAGUUUUCUCUUCGUGAAGGGGUUUUAACUUGUCCAAACCCUUGAAACCCUCCUCCACAGUUAUGUCGAGCUGUAUCUUUUGCUUCUGCCGGCCGUACCCAGCCGUUAUACAUAAAAAAAAAAGUUUAACUUGUUCGUGUUUUAUAUAUGGGGGAGAAAUGGGGAUUGCUGCCAUUUAUGUCGCUUUGUUCCUCUCUCUUUAUACGCCGAUUGGUACCGCAGCCGAGAAAAAUAGAAUUUGGACCGGAGUCACCGGACCAGACCGGUCUGAUCUGAUCCGUCACUUUAAUGGUUAUUUUAAAGAGAAUUUUACAUGUCUUGGAAAAAGAAAAUUGAAUGUAUAACCGGAUGAUUUUUUUAAACAACAUCAAUCUCAAAAAUAACUACCGAUUCUACGAUGAUUAGCAAGUACAUAUCCAAGCCUCUCAAUGAAUAAACAAUUUGCAUGAUAAUUUGAAAAAAAAUAUUUUUAUAUCUAAAUUUUUGUUUUCGGGCAAACCAAUACCAGUGGUAGAGAGUGAAGAUCAUGUGCUUAGCUUAGAUAGUUGUUUGUUCGUCCUAAUAAAUCAGACUGCCAUAAUAAAAUUCACUAUAUAAUGCAUCAUAGUAAUUUGUGAAUGACAUAUAUUAAUGAAUGUAAGGAAAUGCAUUGGAAUACCAAUUUCUCUUCAAUUUGAAAAGUUAUAAAAGAAAAAACAAGAUUUGGUGGAUAUUUCAAAUUUUAAUGAAAGGCAUAUACAAUAUAUAGAUAAAUAUAUAUUCAUUUAAUAUUCUUUAUUCUUGUUGAACAAUAAUUGAUCGUAAAGAUUUGUGCAAAAAUCUAGGUCUUUUAGGGUAUAUAAUAUAUCUGAAUAUUCCAACACAAAGAUUCAUUCAUAUAUUGAUUUUUAAGGAUUCCAUUCAUAAUAUUGAUUUUUGACAAAGGCUAUUAUAAAAAGUUUGGAAGUCAGCAUAUGCAAAAAAAAAAUUACUUACUUAUUUUAAAGGUGCAAAAUCUUUGCAUCCAUUAGUGCUAGUAUGGCAGCGAGUAAGCAGGCAUCGUCUUAAUUAAGAUAAUAGUUAGCCCAAAUUCCUCAACUUAAAGCGUGCAAUGGGUUAAAAAUAAUUCAAUUCUGAGUACCGACAUUCACAUGAUCUUUCUCCAUUCAUAUCUAAAUUCCAUCGCAUUUAUCAAUGUCCAAGUGUGGGAUCAUGUGGCCAACAUUGCAAAGGAUUCCAUAGAAUUGUGCUACUAAUUAUGCAUAGUUGCUUCAAAUCACUUCUUAUUCAUAAGCUGGUCUAUUCGAUAUUGAAUUCACCAUCUACACAAAAAACAAACAUGUUCUUCUCUACUUAAUAUAUAGAUGCAGUAAAUGUAUAAGGCCCCAUUUGGGGGAGCUUUUGAAGGCCAAAAAGCACUUUCUAACCCUUCAAAAGCACUUUUGGAUAAAAAAGGAUGUUUGGUAAAAAUUUCGAAAAGCUGUUUUAGCUUUUUCAAAUCAUAAACUAGGUUCUAUGAUUUGAAAAUUAUGACAAAUAACUCAAAAAUCAACUUAGAAACUUGAAUAAGUUAUGACAUGUUUGAAGAAAAGGUAAAAUCAUAAAACACAUCAUUUAAUAAGCUGCAAUUAAUUAAUCAUAAAGUGUCCAUAUAAAAACUAAUAAAUACAAUCUCACACAUGUGCACACUAUUUUUAAUCAUAGUAAAUGGAAGACUUCAUUAUAUUAUUUUCAUGAUUGUGUAUAACACCACUUUUAUAGAUAGGUAAGUACUAACUAUUUUAUUAUUUCAUGAUUACCCCUCCCAAAGAGAGAAAAGCUACCUUAUUUUUCAGCUAUAAUGAAUUUGCUACAAAUCUUAUCAAGAUUUUAGAAGAAAAAAAAUAGAAUGAAUUGAGUUGUUAACGUGUUACAUAAAAUGUAAAAUGCUUAUUGAGGUGAGCACAACCUACCGAUCCUUUAUAAAUGACUGAUCUACUAGUUCAUCAAAAGUAUAGAUCAUUUCAAGUUAAGCAAGCUUUGCAUGACCUGAUUACAAAUCUUAUCAAGAUUUUAGAAGAAAAAUAUAAAAGUAGACACCCCACUUCGGCAUCCUAUGGACAAUUAGGGAGUGGUACAUAUGCGAUGCCCCAAAACUUGAGGGAAGGCCUAAAAUGACACCCAAAUCAUGCAUAAUUCAUCAUGCUUCUUCAUCCUUGAAUCAUGGGCCAUCCAAAGGUAAUUAAGCUCUUGCCAUGGAACAUUUGGAAACCAGGCCUUUGCCAUUAGAGUGUUCCAAGGACUAUAUCUCUCCAUCUCAUCAUUAGGCACCCACCUUUAGGUUCAAAAAUUCAAGAUCGGCACUUUCUCAAUGGCCUUCAAUAUUGUUGAAUUAUGCAAUGACUCUCUAGCAUCUAAGUAGCAGAGCUCUACUAUCCGGAUGUUCCAAUAAUAGGUCUCUACCAUUGGAUUGUUUAGACGGUAUCAUUCUAUUGGCAGAUAAUCUUUCUAGCACAUUUUUCUAUAUGCACUAGAAUUAAAGGUGGCAAAGCUUAUCCAUUUAAUCUGUUUAACUUGUUUUAACUCAUUGUAAAUUGGAUUAAAUUAUUUAUUUAAUAAAAUGAUCAAAUUCAAAUCUGAAUUUUUAACCUGUUUAAUAAAUAAGUCUAGUUUGAGUUGAUAUAUUUUUUAUCUGUCCUAUGUCCUAUCCGACUUAUAGUUUGUCCGACCCAUCCCGAUUGCCACCUCUAAUUAGAAUUCCAAUUUUUGAACGAGUUAGCUUCAUCUGUGCAAGCAGCCUAUGUCAAUAGCCCUCCAUCCCUCCCAUCGAGGACCAUCGAUCACUUACCUAGCAUAUAUUCUAUAUCAAAAUUCAAAACGAUGGGAAAUCUUAACAAAGCUAUGCUGCGGUGGUGCAAAGGAGGGAGGAGUGGUUGGGUUAUUCUCUCUCUCUUUUCGCUCCCCCCUCUCUCUUUCAUAUGCUUCACAUUUUUCUCCUAUGCAUGCAUGAUGCAUGCACCAAGCAUUUUCAUCUACCUACCUUUCUUAAAAUGUUCUUUUUUAAUGGGAAGAGCGAGUCUUUCAAACUCAUUUCGUUCUCACUAAUUCCUUUCGGUACAUAUCAAUUCAUAUAUGCAUUGAUCAGUUUAUUACACUUCGUAUAAUCUAAUUUCAAAUUCCUUUUAUUCUCCCAAUUUUCAGUUGUUCCAUCCCCAAAGGCUCUUGGGUUGAGCAUGCUCUGACUCGGGAAGAACCCACAAACACGUCGUCCGCAAUAGAGGGUACCUCAGCAGUCAAGGGUCAAAUGGAAAUCACUCGAUUUCAAUGGAGAAGUGGGACCCAAUACCAAAGUCAAACAUAAAACAAGGCACCAACUCGCUAUGAAGAGCAGAAGGCAGAACACCAGUUCCGACUUUUAUAGUUUUGGCCAACCUAUCUGACUUUGACUUGCAUAGGAAAGUCCUAUAAGCCUGCUCAAUUCUUCUCCGUUCUCUCUUUAAAAAGAAUGAAGCUAGAACCGAAAUCAACCAAAAAUCAAAAUAUAUUUAUCAAUUCUAAUUUCAUCAAGUAAAUGAUUAGAUAAAAUUUCAAUUAGAGAUUGAACAAUUCUCCGAUCGAAUGUAGAUUGCUUGAUUGGAAGAUUUGACUACGACAAAUGGAUUUUAUAAAAUCUUAAAAAGUGGUGUGCAUAUGAAAAAACCACUUGUCAAAACUCUUCCAUAAAAAAUCGAGAGUAAUGCUGUGACAUUCAACCCUCAUACCAAGAUAAGCCUCUUCGUUGCUAGUAUACCAUAUAACAAAAGGGAUUGAUGCAAAUUGUUGGGUUAGCACAAUGAGAGUCUAUGAUGUAAAACUCUAAUCCUUUUUUGACAUAUAGCAAUGAAAUUUUGGGUUUCAAGUUUGGGACCCAUGGCAUUUUUAAAAUAUUAAAUAUGUUCGCUGGAAUUUAACACGUGCGAUGCAUGCAUGUGGACAACUCAUUUAUGCAUGUGGACUUUUUUUUUCUUGGUACAUGGUUCAGACUUUUCUUUAACUUUUCCACAAGUAUAAUAGUUGAAUAGUUUUUCUUUUAAAACUUUCGAACUUCUCACUUAAUUCUUAUUUUUUUUCACAUGAACCAACAAUUGAUGCUUAGUAGCGUGCAUUUAAUAUAACAGAAGAUAGCAUUGUGUGGGAUCCCUUUUCACGCAACAUUUAAUACAACAAUGAUGAAUGAUGCAACGAAUGCAGCUUUUUUUUUUAUCAAACCGGGCUUUUAUGUCCCUUUAUAAUUUAUUUUUUUUAUGUUUUUUCAGUCACUUUUAGGUUGCAUGUUUAUUUUUUGUAAUAUUUCAAUUGUUAUUCUUUUUGUGUUUUUUAAUCUUAUAUAUUGUAAAUUUUUGAUCAUUCAAUUGAUAAAUCAUGUUAUGAUUAUUUAUGCACACUAGUUUCAUUGUCCUCUAUAUUUCUGCAUCAUUUUCUUUGACUUAUCUGGUGUAGUUUUCUACAUUAUAUAAUCUUUCAAUUAUAUAUUUUUAGAUUUUUUUUGAGAUUUUUACUAGUAAUAUUUUAAAUUUUUAAUGGAUAAAUGAUGUCAUAAUUGUUUAGAUCACGCAUGAAUUAUAUAGAGGUCUAUACAAAUUCUAACGAAGAAAAACCGUAGGAAUUAAAACAAGAUUAGCAUUAUGGCUGCACUUAUCUUUCUCGAGACGUAUCAAAAAAAAACUUAUCAAAAUUUCAAUCCAUCAUUCAAUUGUUGAUUGCCUGAUCUUUGAUUACAAAGUAUGAUUAUCGAUAAAAAAAUAUAUUAGAUAAAAAUAAACAAGUUUUUUUUUUUCUGAAAUCAACCAUAUCGAUCAUAAGUAUCAAAUUCUAUUUGAAUAAAUUAAUAAUAAUUAACAUUACAAUAUUCUAGGGGCAGAGUGUCAUAAUUCAUCAAAAACUUCCUUAGAGCUAGAAAAAAUGGGUUACAGUGGAAGAAAAUGCGGCAAACCUUUCAUGUUUUUAAACAACUAUAAUUUGAAUAUAUAUUUUUUUUUGUGGAUUUUUUUUCAAUAGUUUUUUUUAAUAUAUAUAUAUAUAUAUAUAACAACUAUAAUUUGAAUAUAUAUAUUUUUUUGUCGAUUUUUUAAUAAUUUUUUUAAUAUAUAUAUAUAUAUAUUUUUUUUUUAGUACAACUGCGGCUUGACGUGAGUGCAGCCAACUCAAAAAAAAAUAAGACGGUGCAAAAGAAUAGGCACUGCCCAGCCAAAGCUUCUAGCCCGUGAUACUCCACGCUCCCCUGUUGAUGUCUCGAGUUUAAACAGAGCCCUCUCGCUCCUUCCGGUAUUUCCCACGGUAAUAAAAGUCCAAGCAACGCCAACCCAUACAGUAAGUUACACGUGCCUAACAACGUGACAACUUCCCUGACGCCAGGUUCUCCCCUCCCUCCUAAAUGCCCACAUUUAUACUCACCCUCUUUGACAUGCGUACCCUCUCCCCUCCCCCAAGUGAAAGAAAAGUUGAAGAGCUCAAAAAAUGCCUUCCUUUCAAAGAAUAAAUCAAGGCUAUCUGUACGAUUAAAUUAAAGUCUCAAAUUUCCUUUCCAAUUUUAGCCAGCACGCCGAUACUGAUUCUUCCCUUCUUUUCUUGCCGUUCGUUCCUCUAAUCCUCUACCCCCACCUCGCAUCUUCUUUUGUUUUUCCAUUUCAACGCAGUUCCAGUCUUCUCUCUAGGUAAGAGAGAGAGAACAGAGAAAGAGGAUUGGAAUCAUUUUCUUCGGUUUUUUGUUUUAUUUUAUUCGGUUUGCGUUUUCUUUGUUUCUUGUUUUUGAUCGGAUCGGCGGCAGCAGUCUUUUUGUGUUCGGGUCUUCAAAAUAUUCGGAUUGGUCGGAGGCGGAGAUGGCUGCGGUUGCGGAGAACGCGACCGGCGUCGGCGACCAGUUCGUCCGCCGCCCGUCGUCGUCGCUGCCGCAGCAGAAGCGCGGGGGGUCUUCGGAGGCGGAGUACCAGCGCGACGUGCGCGAGCUCGUCGAGCUGCUCUCCAAAUUGAACCCGUCCGCGAAGGAGUUCAUCCCCUCCUCCAACGCUUCCGCCAACACCCCGCUUCUGGCGGCCGGCCAGGACGCCGACGCGGCCGCGGCGGCGGCACAGACCACCGCCGGCGGAAGGAUGCCAAAUGGGCGGCUGUCGGCAGAUGCGCCGGUGUUCGUGGCCUCCUCGGAUUACUACGGCAGGCCGAUCGGUGGGGGGAAUCGGUACGCGGCCAGCGGCGAUGGCCCGUCCAACAACCAGCAGCCCCGCAGAGUAUAGACUUCAAUUCUUUCUUUAGAUCUUUUUCGUCUUCUGAUUUCUUUGUUAGAAAUAUGUCAUCGUGCGCUCGUGCAUCGCGGCGAUCUGGGGCUUCUAGGGUUUUGGGUUCAAUUUUAAUUUGUUUUAUUCAGUUGAUGGAUGGCAAUUUGGAUAGAUGCAUUUCUUGAAAACUGAAGCAGAUGGAGAAAAAUUGGAUCUCUUGGAUACAUUGUCUUAUAUUCCGUAGCAUUUUCUUCCUCCUGUUAUUCUCGGCCGAUAACUUAGGCUGCUUUCAUUAUUUUGCUGAAGUGUUUGGGCUUUAUGCAGAGGAAUUUUUUUUUUUUUUACACAACUUUGUUUGAUCUUUUGAAUUAUUUUUGCAGAGAAAGAACAAUUACAACAAGGGGCAUCGGAGGUUUAAUGAUAGGGUUCAAAAAGCGCAGAAGGAGGACCGCAUCAGGCGCACUGUAUAUGUUUCUUAUAUCGAUCAUAAUGUAAACCAUCUAAAAUUGCAGUAUUUCUUAUGUUGAUUUAUUUUCAUCCUACUGUUCUGUAAUCUACUGUGAUUAUGAUAAAUGUAACUUCAAAAUGCUAACUUUCUUAAGCUAUUGUGGUGUUAAUAUUAUCAUAUAAUUCCAUGUAAUGCUUCUGAUAUUAAUUGGCAGGUAAAACAACCGAUUUAUCUGUAUCCUACUGUUCUGUAUUUUAUGGAUAUUUUUAUAAUGAAAAAUGCAACUUUAAAUAUUAACUUGCUUAUGUUAUUGUAGUUUAACAUUAUCAUAUAAUUCUGUGUAUAUGGUACUAAUCCAAACUAUUUGAUUGGUACAUAUCAGGUCACUGAGGAGCAGCUUGCUGCAUUAUUUGGUAGCUAUGGGAAAGUAAGUUUCUCCAUAUGUAUCCUGAAAUUUAACUAAUCCAUGUUAUUGAAGAUGUGAAUGUUGUAACCACGCAAUUCCUAAGAACAGGAUGAAUGAAUAUUGCUGACUAGAUUUUAGAUUGUUACUGUUUAUUGACUGUGUGUUAUAUCAUCUUUCUCGUGUUUUGUAGUUUCUUUUGAACAAUGGCACUGCUAUUUUUUAUGAGUUAUCCAGUAUGACAUAUGCAUACUGAUGUUUCAUAUGCUGACUUUAGCUUCUCACAAGAUGAUAUCGAUUGGAGUAUUUUAAAGAGAUGCUUUAUCUAUUACUUUUUUUUUCAUAUUUGAAAGUUUUUAUUGGACCGGUGAGAUGCUAACAAAUGCAGUCUAAGCUAAUGAAAAAUAUGAAAUGCUUCCAAAGUCUUCCCUAUUUUUCUUUGCUAUAUUUUGGCAGAUUAACAAGCAUAAAAUCUGAAACUUGCUGUUGAAAUGGUGUCUUGUACUUGGUUGUUUGUUGUCUCCUUUAUGUAUUGGGAGAUGGGCCUCUCUAGAGAUGGAGGCAUAUUGAGGGGCCAAAGGCCCGAAGGGCGAAGGCAGAACUAGAGGUGCCAUAUACACCCCUAAAAGGUCCACCAGGGGUUUGGGAUUUUUUUAAUCCUUUUGUAUUACUUUUUUGAAUCCUGAUGUAUGUACCAGUGAGGCUUUUCAGGGUCUGCUCCAACCUGAGGGUGUGUUGAGAAGCAGUGAGCUAGGGCUUGAGACUAUAUUUCAGGGCAUUUCUUUUUACUCUUUAUCUUUAGUGGAGCUUCCUCGAUUGUCUCCAAACAUUAGUGUAGGUUAGAGAUGAACCAUGUAAAUCUCUUUAUGUGCUUUGUGUUUUGUUUGAUUUGUGUUCAUGCGUUAUAUCUUUCCUCACUAUGAGAACCCUAGGUCUGCGUAUUAGCUGCGAUAUGUAUCAUUUGUAAAAAUGCCCUUUUGUUUUUCAAAAAGAUCAUGGGUAAGAAUGUCACCACGGGAAUUUUGGAUCAUUUGGGCCUGCGAAUAUGAGAUCAUAGGUUUUAAUUGAUAGUUGCAUUGAUUGGUCGUAGUUGCACGUAGUCGCUUGAUUUUACCUAUACAACUUAGGUUAGAUUAGCUACUAUGACUCUUCUAAUAGAGGCAUAUUAAAGAACUAUAGUUUAACUCUGCUUUAAUCAAAUGUACACUCUUUCUGGUAGUGUCUUUUGACAGCGCUUAUGUGAGAGAGCAAGAUAAGAGUGAGAGAGAGUUUUUCUAGGCAAACUUGGAAAAUGAAAAAAGGUGAGGUGCAACUCCAUGAUGAUUUUGGUGUUAGGCGAGAGCUACAUCUUUGUGAUUGAUGAGAUAAUAAAUCUACAAGUCCAUGGCAUCGAGGGAGGGUUGAAGCCUUGGUUGGUGGCAAAGUCCAUGCAGCGGCAUGGGGGCUACAGUAGAGAAAUGGAAUGGAUUGGUGGAGCCCAUGUUGUAGCUUGGGAAUGCAGGCAAGGAGAAGGUCAUAAGGGGAGAUCUAUGAGAUCCCUCAAGGACCAUGACUUGUAGAGUCCUUACACCAUUGGAUUUCCAACCAAAAUCUGAGGUUUGAGAUGAUAGAAGACAAGUAGUUUAUGCUGUCAGACACUAUGAAAUCUCCGACUAGGAUCUCAACCAAGAAUGGAGAUCUAAUGAAGGAAUGGGGAGAGGAAAGGAUUAGAGGAAGGAUGUAAAGGCGGUGGAUAGUGGAAGAAGAGAGUGAUUGGGCAAGUGUGGCUUUGGGAGUAAGAGAGCCUUAGGGCUUCUUGGUUAUUUUGAUAAUUAAAACCAAUCAAAAGAUCAACCAUUGGAACUUGAUCCACUGAUUGAAUAACAAUAAAAGGUCAUUCAGCCAUGUGAUUAAUAUCUAACAAUAAUAAAUCUUUUCAUCAUUAUUAAAACUAUAAUAUAUAUCACCUUUUCAAAUCUUAUAUAAAAUUUAUAUGAUUUUACUAUAUAAAAAAGGGUUUCAAACUAUAUCGAGCUAAAACUAAAUGAUCUAGACCUAACUCAAGUUUGACUUGUUUAUGUUUCAAGCUUAGAAGUCCACCUCGAGAUCUGCUCAUUUGAUAAUGGGGCGAGCGGAUUCCAAGCUGAAUUUUGAACCAAAGAUGUGCUAGCUCACAAACAACUGGGUCAUUCAACACCCCUAUUAUUGAACAUGAGCUUGACUUAUUUGAGUUUCUGUUCUCUACUCAAGAAGGUAUUUAGAGGUAGAGUAAUUAUGUGGGCAUUUAUUUGUGUUCCAAUUUUGCAGGGUCCACAUUCAUUGACAAACUAGUUUAUUUACUUUUCUGCUAAUUUAAAACAGGUCUCCAACAUAUUCGUAUUUUAGAAAGAAUGAAGAUAAAGGAAAAAACUAAAACUUAGAUGAGUCACCUACGACAAAUAUGGAAAAAUAUGCUUGUGUAAAAGUACGAUAUUGCUAAACUCAUGGGCUAUUUUCAACAUUUCAGAUUGCCAUAUCAUGAUAUUUAUAUACUAUGAAACUAUAUAUAUUGAAAGUCAUAAAUAGUAUAAUAAGCAUAUAAUCAAAUUUUGUUGGUAUAAUUGUAUGGAACUCUGGGUAAUUUUUAAGCAACCAAACAAAGCAUAAUUGAUACAACAGAUAUGGUUCAUUUUUGUAUAUUUUGGAGGAAAUUCAAGUGGUUUAUUUGCAAAAGGGGCUUAGCAAAGAUAUACUCAUUUGUUCUCUUGUAUCGUUUUGACAGGUCACAAAAUGCAAACAUUUCAUUCUAACCUUAAUUUGGACAAUAUAUUAUGUGCUUCCUUUAUCAUAAAGCCUGGAGCAAGUCAGAUAAAAUUAUUUCUUUAAUUUUUUUGUUAAAGUAAAACCAGGCUGUUGCUUCUCUUAUUUGUUUGUCCUGGAGAUUCUUGAAUGUUUAUUUGAUAAGGUGAUAAUUGUGGUGGACUGUCAGUUGUUGAGUGUUUGUCGAUUUGAUUUAUGAUAUGUAUCCGUUUUGGUAUAUUUUGGAGGAGAUCCAAAUGGUUUCAUUCAAAAUGCAGCCAAACAAGGGUAUAUUCAUUCAGCCUAUUUUAAUUGGUGUCCAGACUCAAAAAAUGGAAACAUUUUGAUGAAGUGUUGCAUGUUUCAUUAUUGGCUAAACUGUAGCUAGUCAGCUGAUAUUAAUGCAUAAUUUUGUGUGAGAUUUGGUAGCACACUGUUGAUAAAGUAAUUUUAGAAAAGUGAGACUGUUGUCUUUGUUGUUUGUUUUUCUACUUAAUGCUUGUUGUUCUGGAAGGUGAUGUUAGUUGUUAAGAUAGUUGUUCAAGGUUUCCUUGGGUUUUAGGGGCAUAUUACUUUGUUCAACCUAAUGUAGAGUCAGUUGGAUUAUAGUUAUCCUCCCAUGUCUAGGUGAGAAUGCUGUUGCCUUUUAUGACAAUAUUCAGGCAUUGAUGAAACAAUGUGUUGGUUGGCUUUGUUUCUAAAUGAAAUAGAACCCUACUGAGCUAACUACAUAGGGACAAGGGCUUCCCUCUCUCCACUUCUCCUCCGGUAUAGGUAUGGAGGUUUCUUAAUAAUGAUCUGCCCUCAUCCGAUCUUGAUAGCACUGUUCUUGGUCAUCUUCCUCUUUGUUCUUGUGCAUGACUUGAGACAGACUUCUUCUCGAUGGCAUUGGAGAGACUUGAUGGUCAUAUAGCAGUCUGAGCGGCCAUUCUCUUUCUGGCUUAUAGAUUCUCUUAAGUCAGCAGAUUGUGUAAUGUGUUGGUUAAGGAAAGGAUUCAAUACUGCUGAAAAUGUUCCUUCAGAUCUAUUUUGUGUUCUUGAACUAAAUUUCUCAUUCAAGGACUCCCAGUUUUGUUAUCCCUAGAAUCCAGUUAUGGGUGAUAAAAUGGAGUUCCAUAAAUUUUAGUGGUGCAGACGAGUUGAGCCAAUCUGAGUAGUUCGCUGCUCAGGUUCAGGUUGCUCUGUGCUGGGGUGGACAAGCUUGAGUGGAUCUUAACAGGUCUUCGAGUGUUGUUUGUAUGAGAUCAGGGCCGAGCUUGAACAAGCUUCUUAUGGAGCCGAGCCAAGAUCCUAUUUACUUUCACAUGCCUUAGUGUUCAGACCUGGCUGAUUUAUGAAAUGAGCUUUAGAAUCUGUUGGAGCAUGGUUUCGUAGCUGAGCCAAGCCCAAAUAAUCCAGCCAAGCAGAUCCCAAUCAACUCAUGAAAAUCUCAGAUUACUUCCAGCCUUAUAUUUUUCAUUUGGUUCUCGUUAGGUUUGGUAGGUACAUUAUUUUGUUUGACCCAAGUUUUUAAUUAUUUUUGGAGAAUGUGAAAUUCCUAUACUAUUCACUGAGCGAAAAUUGUGUGCGGGACUGCCUUGUUUGUUUCUUUGAUGACAAAUUGCAUUUUUUGAGAUCACCUCUAGUUGCAGCAAACAAUUUGAUUUCAGGAAAUAUUUGUUAAAUUGAUGUGGUCAUGCUCCUUAUGAAACUGUAACUUGAUUGGACAUUUAGAUUUUCAUUUGGAACCCUCAGUUCAAACUUCUUUUUUAAAAAUAAUUCUUCAGCAACUCAUAACUUUUUCAUCCAGCAUUGCCUCAAGCUUCUAGAGUGAUUCUUUCUCACAUAUAUUCCUUAAAGGAAUGUCGAGUGUGACUGAUGUAAACACCCUUUAUAUGUAAUCAUAGGGAAGUACUUGAAAGAGAAGAGUUUUUGGAAAUUUGUAGCUUGGUGAUUGAUUUUUAAGUGCUAUUUUUGGGUCAGUUGGUCAUAUAACUCAAAAUCUAAAAUCAUCAUGUGAUAUUUUUCAAGACUGCAGACCACCAGUGUAUUUUAGGGUCCACCAUAUCCAUUGAACUUGGAUCCAAUUUUAUUUUUGUGCCUACAAAAACUUUAGAAAAAAAGGGUGAUAUUCUGAUUAUUGAUCUGAAUUUAACUUUGGUGUGGGACCAAAUAGAUAACCUGUAUGAUUUUAAUGCUUAAGUUAUUUGUCAACCUUAUGUUUCAUGAAUAUGAAUACAUCUUGGAUUGUAAUCCGGCAUGCAGUGGAGCUGUACAUGCCCCCCCCUCAACUCUAUUGUGAUCUCAUUUUCGUAUGCCGAAACUUGAUAAAAUUUGGGCCUCAUAAGGUCUCUGGAUGGAGAAAGUGGGGAUUGCUUCAUCACCCCCUAUGUCCAUUUAUGUCAAACAGUUUAUAUUUGGUUGCAAAGAUUUUAUACUUAAUAAUGAUUACACCACAAAGCUGGUAACUUUUUCUUUAUGUCACUUGGAUAUCCUAGUUAACGAUUAUGCAACAAACUGGCAACAUUUUUUNNNNNNNNNNNNNNNNNNNNNNNNNNNNNNNNNNNNNNNNNNNNNNNNNNNNNNNNNNNNUAAAUGGGGGUAGUUCUGGUCAUGUCUAAAAAAGCAUAUAAUAUCUUUCAGAUGUUGCGGCUCUGCCUAUCAAUAGAACUAUUAUCUGCGGGAUCUCUACCUGACCAGGAUGGAAAUAUUUUACUGGUAUGCUGGCAAAAUUUGGCUGCUUGGCAAUGGCAGGUCAUAUCUGACCCUUAUCCCAGGCUUAUUCACAGACCAGACUAGUUAUCAAAGAAUAUCUGUGUUCUGUUUGGUAUGAUGCCAAUACCUAAGGUGAUAACGCAUCCAAAUAUCUAGGUGAUGAUGCAUAGUUCGUAAUGGUUUCAAGGCUUUAUUCUAUCUUUUCUUGAAGCCUCUUGCAUCUUAUUAGUGGAUGGGCAGUAUAAUGAGUCAAUGACUGUUGUCCAUCUGAAGAAUUACAAGUGCAAUCAUGGUAUCUCACAUCCAGGUCGCGGCAGCUAUAGGAGAAGCUCUAUUAGUAAAUUAAUAAAUACAAGUAAGAUUUUUCAGGCUGUAGGACACAUCUCUUUCACUUUCUAUAAACUUGUGGUGGAAAUUUGGGCUUAUAAGACAACUCUGAAUUUUUAUUGUUCUUAUCAUGCUUCUCUUUAAAUUUUCCCUAUGAAUUUUCAUAUAUUUGUAUUGAGUUUACAUAUAUAUGUUUUAUUGCAUUUCCUCUGUUAAUUCAAUUACAAGUUAGUCUGUGGGAGAAUGUUUGACAACUUUGAAUGUUCAUUCUGAAGGUACUUGAUUGCCGUAUUUGCUGUGAUGCUAACUCAGUUCUUCGAUUCGCAUUUAUAGAGUUUGUUAAUGAACGUAAGUUUACUUGUGUUAUCUUAACCUUAGCACCUAUAUAGUGGUCUUAUGCUUUUUACAAAAGGAAUUAGAGCAAUGGACUAUUUCUAACAGAUGGUGCAAGAGCAGCAUUAAAUCUUGAUGGGACCGUGCUAGGUUACUAUCCUCUAAGAGUGCUACCUUCAAAGACUGCCAUUUUGCCUGUGAAUCCUACACUUCUUCCACAGGUAAGAUUAGUGAUUCUCGUGCUGCAUUUCUAAAAUUAUCACAGUAUAUUGUUUGUCUUAAAAAUAUAGCAUUCUCUGUUACAAAACUUCUGAGUUUUGAGAUUGAAUACAGUCUGAAGAUGAAAGGGAGAUGUGUUCACGGACAGUUUAUUGCACUAAUAUUGAUAAAAAGGUAGAGUAGCUUCUUCUCGACUCUUAUAUCAUAUGACUAUUGUCAAACUUCUGCUGGUUUGCACAUUUUAAGAAAAAUAUGUGCAAAAUAGAGUACAACUGGUUGAUUUUGUUUACAACAUAAAGAAAAAACAUGUUAAUUAUGUAGAAGUCAAUCGUAUCUUCAAAAUCGUGCAGCUGGAUUGCUUUAUUUCUAGUUAAAUGCAUUCUUUUCUUUAUCGAUUAUAAUUUUGGUUUUUCUUCUUUUGCAGGUUACUCAGACAGAUCUAAAAGAAUUCUUUCAGUCCUGCUGUGGUGAGGUCAGCACAGUGCCUUCUGUCUGGUAUUUUUCUCAUCAGUAGGUUAAGACAAUCAUGUUUAAGACACAUUUUUCUUAAUGGUUAGCAUUAUUUUUUUUCUAUGCAGGUUUCUCGCUUGAGACUUCUUGGGGAUAAUGUGCAUUCAACUCGCAUAGCAUUUGUUGAGUUUGUUCAGGUAUUUUGCAUUGCCGAACUGAUCAUAUUUUAUUUUUCUCUGAUUUGGAAUUUGAUAGUCUUGUUGGUGAUGUUCAAAUAUUAUCCUGCUUUUACCUUUUUGGGGUUUGGAUGUUCAUGUAUUCUAUUGCGCAUCUGCAUAAUAUGCCUAUUGUAUUGUUUCUAAACUUCUAAUGUUCAUGUUUUGCUUUGUGAUAGUCGAAAUAAUUUUCUCAGCUGGCUUGCCUCAUGGAAUCAAGCAGAAGUUAGUGAAUCUAUUCAGAUUUAGGCAAUGCUAUGUAAUUGCGAUGAACAUAAUGUGCUGAGUUGAGGUUCAUGUGUUUGCACUUAUGUAUUUUCUUAUCCAAUUGUUUGGUUCAGUGUUCUUGAACUUGCUAUUCCAUUUGUACAUCUCAUAAUGCUGCUUACAGAUGAUUACUUAUCACUUACAUUUCUUUCAAAAUUCGUGACUGGCUAUUUAACGAUCGUAUUUUCAUCAUGAUCUAUCAUAUAACUGAAAAUGAUGUUUCAGUUGAACAUCUAUUGAAAGAUAAUUCAUCAAUAUUCUUUUGUAAAUAUAAGUCUAUUAAUCAAUAUUGCAACCAAGUGUUAUUAACAUCCUGAACAAACCUCAACUAUAUUUGACCAGAAUCAUGAUCACCAAUCUUCAUCCCAUUAGUGGGGGUUAGCUUCAUCCUUCAUCCUUAUCAAGAACUGUAAGCUAUAAAUACAAGCUUGUUAAAAAUCAUUAAUUACACAUUUCAUUCGGCUUUUCUUAGGAACCUUCUAUUCUUUUCUGAUAGGUUGAAAACUUUAGGGCCUUCCCUUACUGAGGGUACAGUGUGCCUGUUUCAUCACAAUUUGUUCUUUAUUACUUUAGCCUCUUUGACCAUGGCUGCUAAACUUACCUAGUUCCUGAAGUAACGAUGCAAGUUCAAAUUUAUUAAAACUUAUUAUGAGUUGGAAGCAUCUUGCUUAUGUUUCUGUUGCAUCUUGUUUUGUUUCUCCUUUGUAUCUUUCUCAAUUCUGAUUUAUAGUUGAGAAAAGGCUUCUUCUGUAGCAAUAAGGAGCUGAAACUAGACAGUCUUCUUUCUCCUUUGUUACUUGCCUUCAUCUUCUAAAUAUUCAGCCAGGUGCUGGUUUGAAAUGUAUGGCAUGAUGCAAGGUUGAGAGGGUGGUGGAACCUGAGAUUGCUCCAACAUGGAGUGCAGCACUAAGUGUGCACUGGGUAAAAGAGUGGCCAUGUGGCCGUUUUGGUCCGGACUGCAUCAAUUGCUUGACCUUUUGGUGAAUCCUUUUGAUUUAUCAAAAACAGUGUGAUUGUAAGCUUCCAUCAUCCAUGCCUAUGGAUGAUGAAGUGAUACCAUACAGUUCCCUUGCUCUCAAUAUAAGAUGGAGUCAUCCAUUUUGGAGGAGCCUGUGCCCAGGUGUAACUACUAGACAUUAGCUAGUGUGUCUUUUCUUCUCUGUCCUAAAGUAGACAUGAAGUUUCACUAGAGUGAUUGUUGGAUGGAAUAUCAGUUGGCUGAAUGACAAAGCUGUCCUCUUUCAGGUAAGAUACGGCAUCAAUUGGCUAAAAAAGAAAUUUCUUAAAUGAUUUUCUAGGAUAUAAAUAUCUGAGGUUGGACCACAUGGAAUUUGGAAACGCUUAAAGCAAUGAAUAUGUUGAGAUACAAUCUGGCUGGAGCAUGUGCGUUGUUUAGUAUUUGUGGUUUUUGUUGUGCAGUUAUAUUUUAUAUGCAAGAUGUUUUGUGGAUGCAAAUUUUUUGUUCGUCAUCUGAGGCAAAAGUAGGGUAUAUCAUAGAAUUCCAAAGAAUGAUCUAGAACUGAAUUUUUCUGGGAGAUAGAUUAGCAAGUAUUUAUUUGGAAAACCUGCAAGUGAUGCGGAUGGAACAACAGGAGAUUACUUUAACUAGAUAAGGACUUGGAAAGAGAAAACCCUUAGGGUGAAAUGACAUUCCAAUCAUGGUUGCAAAAGAUGCUAUAUGCUGGGCCAAUACCAACACAGCACCUAGGUUGGCAGAACACCUGAGUCCAUUUUCAAUUAAAGGACUCUUUGAAGUCCCCUUUUUAUUGGGUUUCAGUAGGGAAGGCGUGGUGCUGGUUGCAGCCGACACUCCCCAUCUCAACGACACUUAAGUCCUUGAUUCUGGUAUUGGUGGAAGAUUGUUAUAGAUCUUUUAAUGAGAUUUUGAAAUCUAGCAAGAUAGCUCAUGAUUGAGGAAGCACAGUGAUCUCUUGUUAAGGAUAACAUGUACGAAAAUUCACUAGAUAUCAUGGUGCCAUAAAUAGAGCCAUAAUAUGGUGUAAUAAGGCUAGUUGGCACAACAAAGUUUGAAACAGGUAACAAGCAUAUCAACAAACUAGUUUGGUUUUUUUCCCGGGGAGUGACAAGUCGAAGCAAUUUUCUUGCAUAGCAAAUUGGUCAAAGAAGAGAUUCUUAUGUGGGAUUAUUCAUUUGGUACAAAGUGCUUUGUAGAAGAAUAGCAUCAUUGGGGUCUACAUUGGAGAUUAUUACAUAGGUUGUGCUAAGGUCAGAAUCAAGCGUGUGACUUGUGGUGUGAAUGAGUAGUUUUCAUUUUAGUUGGAUUGGAUAAGAAUUGAACCCAAGUUUGUACCUCUUUAUGCUGGUAACGGACAUGUGGAUGACAGACUUCUGACAGGAGACUACUUGGUGUUCGUAAUUUGCAAUCGAUAGUGUUAUUGGUAAGGGUUAAUGCUUGAUUGUAGAUAUUGAGGAAAACUUUGGAUGACAAAGAAGUAAAAAUUAGCUGUGCAAAAACAGAUUAUUUUGAUUUCUUUUAGUACUUUAUUUGUUUAUCUGUUCAAGGGGCCUGAAGGCAGUUUUAUGCACAACAAAAAUAUACAAUCCGUAUAACCUCCUAAGGUGCUGCCCUGCAUCUUGUGCUUUAUUCAUAUUUUUCAUUCUUUAUAGCAUCUCUUUGUAAUGGUGACUGCAGAUGUCGAUAUUAGCCAUCUCAUAAAUGGUCUAUGACUCUAUAUGCAUCUCCAUCUAUUUGUUGAAUCAAAUCUCUCAAUUUGUUUCUGCAUUGUGGCGUUAAUUACCCUUGAGGGUACGCAUUAUCCUUCUCAUCCAACUUUCCAAUUUUUGUGUCUCCACUUGAAGUUGCAGUCUUGUAAUAUAAAGCUCUUAGCUUUCUCCAGGCCUAGCUUCCAAACUGAAUUGUAUCUGGCAAAACCAGUAUCCUUACACAAAAAGAAUCCUUCAGUCGCCUUUUAGAAUGCACUAAGUUCACCUAUACUCCUUACUAGCAAUCAGUCUUCUAGGUUUUGUGGCAGACCAUUGUCCUGCUCCAAUUUACCUUGAGCUGACUUCACAUCAAGAUCUGGACACUUCAUAUAAAUUACGGUCUUCCUAUUGAACUCCCAGCUACUUGGUGACGUAGAAUGGAAGAAGAAAGAGAUAGAUUGAGAAAGAAGAAGAAAAAGAAGAGGGAGAAAGGAGGGGGAGAGAAAGAAGAGCAACUCAAUAAUCUGUAUUCUCAACGAUGCAAUCUAUCUUCUCAAUAAUAUAGCAAUAAAUUUUUAUAGGCAUCCUAGGGGAGAAAAGAGGAGGAGAGAGAGAGAAAGAAGAGCAACUCAAUAAUCUGUAUUCUCAAUGUUGCAAUCUAUCUUCUCAAUAACAUUACAAUAACUUUAUAUAGGCAUCCCAAAAAACUAAUAAAGUAAACCUUAGAGUCCACAUAAAAAUAAAAUUCUAGAAUCCAAAUAAAAAUAAAAGUCUCUAAUUUGCAUAUUUGCAUCUAAUGUAAGUGCGCUUAAAUUCCUUAUUAAUGGAUGCUCCUCCUCCACUUAGUUUUUUAAAGUUGUGUGCUUGUGGAUAUUAGCCAUCAUAUAUGAAGUGUGGAUAUGGAUGCUAGACACAUAUAUGACACAGUUCGGAUACGUUGAUACCUCAAAUCUUGAAAAGUAGGUUAUGCUAUGCCUAGAAUACAAUCAUGAACAAAUAUUUAAAGUUGCGUGCCUGUGGCUAUUAGCCAUCAUAUAUGAAGUGUGGAUAUGGAUAGUGACAUAGAAAUGACAAAAUAUAGAUACGCUGAUACAACAAAUCUUGAAAAGUAGGUUGCACUACGACUAGAGUACAAUACCGAACAAAUCUGUAUCUUUUACUUUUAUGCAAAAAAAAGAAUCAACACAAAUAAUAAUGUUAUUUACAAAGUCCAUUGCUUAGUCAUCAUUUAAGUCUAUCACAAUCUAUACUUUAUGUAAUAGUAUCAACAUCACAGACACGAACUGUAAAUUAACAAUUCAUCACAAAAAGAUCAGCAUCAUUAGAGAGAGAGACCUCAUCUGUUGAGGCAUAGCGAAGCAUCUCAGAUGUAACUGGGAGGUAUCCCAAGUCGUUUUUAAAAAUUUUAAAUAAUAGAAUACUUCAAAUUAGUUAUUCUGUGUAUCCUAGAAGUAUCUGGCCGCUAUGGGUAAUUGAUGUGGAAACGACAUGCAAUUUGCUGUAUUUGUGCUUCAUAGGCCAUCAUUUAUGUGAAAAUGACAUCACAAUCAAAUUUUCAAGUUUGAAUGUUUCAUAUUGUACAAUGAAAUGAUGUUGUCAUGUUUCUAAACCUCUUUUCUGGGAUUUAAUGAAUCACUAAUUGCAUCAACAUCCAUCUGUGGCAGGCAGAAAGUGCCCUUCGAGCUCUGAAUUGCAGUGGGAUGGUUCUUGGAUCUCUUCCUAUUAGGUACAGUCUUCAAGUCUGCCACUCAAUUGAGAUUACUUUGAUUAUGAUUUCCAUUGCCAUGACUUUUGUCUGUAUGGCCCUUAGGUUAAGUCCUUCGAAGACUCCGGUCAGGCCUCGUGUUGCUCGCACAAUGCAGUAGCUGCAGUUUACUUUAUAUUCGAACUGAUGGGCCAAUUUUCACUACUGGAGGAACUUUGUUGUCUGGGAAGGGCUGAUGACAUUUGACUCUGCUUUAUUGGCGGAAAGCAUUUUUUCCCCACAACUAAAAAUGACCCACCUUCCUGCUGGCUUUGUUGUUUAAACAAGACCUGUCUUGUGGCUUUACAGAUGUUGUUAUCUGUUUUAUUUGUUAUUUAUUUGCGUGGUAAGAACUAAGGAGUGUCGUGGUAAGAACUCAGUAGCUGGUGAUCUCAACCAGCAUAGUUUUCUGCGGGAACCUGGAAACUGUGCUGCUCAUCUUUCAUUAAAGACAAACUUUUCUGAUUAUUCUAAUGAUUUUAGUUGUGAAUUUUGGUUUCUUAUUUGCAAUUGCUCCUUUAUUAAUAUAUAAUCAGAACCUAUUGCAGGUUGAGUUCGUUGAAGCCAAAAAAACCAAAAAUGGGUACAUGGAAAAUAGUUAGUCUUUGCAUGAUAACAUCCAAUUAAAAAUUUGAUCAAGAAACUUGUUUAAUUGGUAGAUGGUGAUAUCAGCAUUUGUAUGAUGCUGUUGAGAUGUUAGGGUAGUAGCAGUUCUUGCUUCAAGAGGAGAAAUUCUUACUGUUUACAAGAGACAGGAGCCUCUAUUUUUGUGAAAUCGACCAUAGCAAUAUAUGACUGUGAUGAGUUUCAGCUGGUCCUCCGGAACUAGGCUCCUGCUCUUGAGACAUUGGUUUGGCCGGAAUCAUUUUUAUGAUUGUUCCUUCUCCUUGAUGGAAAUACCUGUUCCUGUGAUGCUGAAAACUGAUGCAACAAGGCCCUUUCUGAUUUGUUCGUCCGUAACGUGAGCCUGGAGUAGACUACAGCAGCAGUAGACUUUUGACGUAGUGUUUUCCAUGCAUAGCUAUCAUAUCAAUGGUUGAGUCGUAUGACACUCACAUGGUUAUCAUGAUGUAUGGUUUGUACAUGUAUUUCUUAUUACACUUGCGUCUAAUAAUUUAUAAAAUCUAUAUCUAUAUCCAAUUAAAUUAAUAGCAUUAGGGAAAUCGUUUAUCUCAUAUGAAAAUUUAAAUUGUGCUGGGAGAGAAACGAAGAUGCACAUAAUUUUUUUGUCGGUUGUUAUAUCACUUAAGAUUAUUUUAAUAAUUUUAAAAAAAAAAAUUAAUGUGAUAUUUGGAUUUUAUUUAAGAUUAAUGGUUUGACUAACGUUUUAGUAUGUUAGAGGUUGAAAUGUUGGAUAAUUACAAACAUUAAGAGGGUUAGUGUUAGUUUUUUCAAACUAUUAGAUGUAAAUAUAAUUUAUUUUAACAAUGGAGCAGGCAAACGGGCCAAUUUUUAUGUUGCUUAAGGUUUUUGGACCAAUCAUGUAAGAUGGUACUUCAAAAUCUUGGUCACCAUGUAUAGACUCGGAAAUGAGACUUGGUGAUCGCUAAAAAAAUCCUUCAGCCAUCCAUCCCGAGCGACCGAGUCAAUUCGUCUCGCAAUCAGUCAACCACAUGCCGUCCUCAACCUUUAGCAGCCUUACCAUUUGCAAUCAUUCCUAAAUCCUCGAGCGUGAUAGAGGGAGGCAUUAAUGGAAGGCAAAGAAGUAACUCCCUGCGGGUCAUCCGGCGCAUAAAUAGCGUUCCCCUCUUCCCAUCCUGUGCUGCGCCUUCAAACCCUCUUCCCCACAGACAUGAGAGGAGCUCAAAAGAAAAUUAAAGGGACAGUAUCCAAUUUAACACAAGGCCUUUCUCUUUAUUUGGAAUCUGGAAUUUUUAAGGAACGUUAUCGAUGAACUCCGUCAUGUAUAAAUGCCCCUCCAUUUUUUCUACUUCAGACUGCCUUCCUACCCUCUUCUCAGAACAGAAUCAAAGAGAAGCUGUCCUAGAGAAGCUUCUCUCUCUCUCUUUUUCCAAGAGAGUAGGAAGGAAUGGCCUCUUCCUCUAUCCACAUUUCUAUCUCCAAUACCAACCUUUCAAAAAUUACCAGACCUGAUCUUUCUGCGAUCAGGAUGACCGCCACAUCCACCAAAGUAAUUUUGCCCUCCCAAUCCAUCUCCAGAUCAAGCAACCUGCGACUUCCUUCCAGUUCUUCUCCCCUGCGCUGCACCUCAAUCCUUGAUCAUGUCCGCAUGGCUCCCGAACCACCAAACAAGCCUCGAGAAGAUCCAUUAAGGAUCGCCAUCAUUGGAUUCGGAAACUUUGGGCAGUUCAUAGCUAGAGGGCUCGCGAGGCAGGGCCACAACGUGCUUGCGACGUCGAGAACGGACUACUCACAGUAUUGCAAUCGACAUGGGAUCCAAUUCUUUCGGUAAGCAAUGCUGAAUGAAAGCUUGUCAUCCUACUUUCUAAUGCACAAGGGAGGGACGUGGAAAUCAUAGGCAUGCUUCUUCAUAAUUUUGAUCCAUUUCAGGAGCCUGGACGCAAUGUGUGAGGAGCAACCGGACAUUGUGCUCGUCUGUACUUCCAUCCUGUCGACGGAGGGUGUCAUUCGUAGGAUCCCACUGCACAAGCUCAAGCCUGACACCAUCUUCGCCGACGUUCUAUCCGUCAAGCAGUACCCCAGAAAUCUAUUCGUCGAGGUAAGCAGAAGUAAUUUUGCAUGGCGAUCGAGUAUGUAUGAGAUCAUAAGAAUGGUGUUUCCUAUAUCUCAAUUCCCAGCAAAGGUGUUCUCUUGUAGUUUGAAUUUUAAAUUGCGUACGAGCUAACGGUCACUUUUAUUGCAUUUUUUUUUUCUUUCGUUAAAGGUUCUUCCGCCGGAAUUUGGGAUAGUGUGCACGCACCCAAUGUUUGGGCCCGAGAGUGGGAGGCAUGGCUGGGUGGGGCUGCCCUUCGUCUAUGACCAAGUCCGGGUCCGUCCUCACAGCUUGCAAGCUCGGAAUUGUGCCCGUUUCUUGAACAUCUUUGAGAAAGAGGUUAGUAACCUAUGAGUCUCAAUUGAUCAUAAUGAUCUAAACAUGUGCUAAUCUUAGACCGCAUUGGACCGCAUCGCACUUAAAUCAUGUCGAACCAGGAUAACCUGGUCGGCUGAGCCAAAUUGUCGAUUGUAGUUCAAUAUGACAAGGACCAUCUCUGCUACAAAAUCAUGAUAUUCCCCGUUAUUUUUUUGAAAUAAUAAAUUAUGACUUCAAGAAUAUAUAUAUUUUGUCCGAUUAUGAAAUGAAAUCUUACAUAAAAUUCUUAAAUCACGAGAUCGAAAAUUUUUGUUUCGAGUACUUUUUCUAAAAUUUUUUGUAUAUCCUCUAUUGAUCAUUGCUUUUAAUCUUCUUAUUCUAGUAAACAAACAUGUUCUAGAAAAUCUCGACCUUCAUAGUGGUUAUGAAGUAGUGCAAUUUUUUGGUGAAAGAAAAAGAAAAAAAUUGAUGCCAGUUUCACAACCACUUCAUGUAAAAUCCAAGCAUGAUUUGAAAAUAGAGCAAUUGUAUACUUCACCAUUCCACUGGAUUUUAUAUGCACAUGUCAAGUAAGAAAGAAAUUUAUAUUUAUGUUUCCCAGCAAUGUAAAGAAAUUAACCAACUUUUUUCCAAUUUCUUAAGCAGGGUUGUAGGAUGGUGCAUAUGUCAUGUGAAGAACAUGAUCGCUAUGCUGCCGGCAGUCAGUUCAUUACCCACACAAUUGGAAGGUAAAAUGAUGUAUGCUGAUAUGCUAGUUCUAGUAGGGAACAUAAAAUAUUUAUAACAAACUUUAACGUAACCAGAAUAAUACCCUACAUUUAUAAAAUAAUUUUCUUCUAUAAAAUAUAUAUAUAUAUAUAUAUACCCAUUCAAUUACUUAAAUAAACUACAAUCAUCUAGCUUUUUUUUCCAACAAUUGAUAUCUUACUAUAACCAUCUAACUUUUUGCCAACAAUUGAUAUCUUGUCUCAUCAACAUAUAGAAAUAAGGGAUUUCUCUAUUUUUGAAGGAUUCUCUCUUCUCUAUCCAUUCCUACUCUUUCGAUCUAUUAGAAUUAGGAUCAGUUUUAUGGAUACUAUUUCGCCAAAUAUUCCUAUUUAGGUUAAUAUUAUUCCGAGUUUUUUUAUAUCGUUUUGUACAAUCUCCAUCUAUGUCACCUCAAGUCUUCUUCUCCUUUUUCUUAUCACCUUCGGCACAAAACCAAAGUAUCUAUCCUUUUUAGAGCUUUCUUCUAUCUUUGUUGUACAUAUUGGUACCAUCUCAAUCAGUUUUUCAUUACUUUAUCCUUAACUUGUGCAACUCCUACAACUUCUUUAAUAUACUUAUUUUUUAUUUUAUUUUUCUUGUAUUAUCAUACAUCCAUAAACUCCUUCCUAUUAUACUUGUUUUCAUCUAUCUUCUUCACUGCCUAACACUCUGAUUAAUACAGUAUGAUAAGUUUUAUUGGUGUUUUAUAUUUUUUUUAAAAAAAAUCUUAAGGGUAUUUGCCUAUCACAUAAUGUUCCAAAAGCAUCUCUCUCUCCACUUCAUCCAACGGCUUUAAUUUUAUGACAUUUAUCUUCAUUUAUCUUCACAAACUCUGACAUUUAUCUUCAAGAUGCAGGAUCCUAUCACAUCUGAAUCUGGAGUCAACACCCAUUAACACAAAGGGAUAUGAGACCCUCCUGAACCUGGUAAUUAAAUUCACACAUUGUUGAAUUUUACUUGGAGUUCUUACACAAAAGCUCCUGUGAUGACUAGUUUACUAAUAUCUUGAUCCUACUGCAAUGGCAAUGGCAAUGGCUUUCUUCUGCUUUGCAGACAGAGAAUACAGUCAGUGACAGUACGGAUCUCUAUUUUGGGCUCUUCAUGUACAAUGUGAACGCCACAGAGCAGGCAAGUGUGCCCUCUUCACAAACUUACUCUAGUCAUAACUCAUAACCCCCACCUCCCCACAACCCCACCCGACACCUAACACGCGCGCGCGCCGAGUCUUAUCCAGAUUAAUAGCUAUUGGGAAUGAGAUACAGAAUUUCUUCUAGCACUCAAAGUAAAAUGAUGGUAGACAAUUGUAGGGGAUGGAUUUGAUAGAAUAACAGACAGAUGUGGGAUGUCGCUUUUAUCAGCAUAACAUCAGAUGGACCCAUCAAAUAUUAAAAUGCUAUCUUUUACGGAUACAACUAAUGUCACAUUGAUGAAUACAUGCAUUGCAUACACAUAUCAACACAUAUACUUUGAUACAUAUAUCCAUGCAUGCAUAUGCACAUAUAUAUAUAUAUAUAUAUAUAUUUGAAUUAUGUAGUAUGAGUACUUUUUUGUACAUUCACAUGUAUAUAUGGCCGGAAGUUUUCGCAUUAUUGUGCAAGAUAUGAACGUAUCCAUCUUCAAAUUAUGAGUAGUAUCAUUUUUUGAGCACACCACGAACCAAAUUUCAGUCUCUAAGUUGAAUGAUACCGACUAUGGUGCAACCGCGUGUAUUAAAAUGACUGGCACAUGAAUAUAAAUGAUGUAAUUUUGCAUCUGAAUAAUUAUAUGGCGUUAAUUGUAGUUGAAGAUGUGGCAUAAUGAUGCAGAUUGCUAACCUUGAUAGAGCAUUUGAGACCGUGAAGCAGAAGCUCUUUGGAAAGCUCCAUGACAUUCUAAGAGAACAAAUUGUGGAGAGGAUACCAAUGCCGGGGACACCCACAGCUACAAGGGUGAUGGAUCCCCACUUCCUACGUGAUGCUAACCGAAUGGAAGGCCUAACCUCCUUAAUUGUACCCCGACGCUCCGAACAUGUGAAAUGAAUGGAAGACAUCUCGCAACAACCCUCACCCUCAAGGUCCCCAAGUCUCAGAUAGAGAGAGAGAGAGAGAGAGAGAGAGAGAAUUAAAAUAUAAACAUGUCUAAAUUUUGUUUUUUGUUUUUGAUUUUUGGUUGGCGAAUUGAGCCAAUUCUCGCAAGCAGUGUUGCUGUACCAGAUUCUUGGAGCCUUCUUAAACCGGAAAAUCUGCUCAUUUAUUUCCUUCAUAUAUUCAAACUAGUCCAUUCCAUUUGAUCCGACGGUACAACGUGUGACCAUUGCAAUUGCAAUAGAUGACUCACCUUCGUUCUAAACAGAAAAGGGAUCGGACGAUAAACUCACUUCGCGGAACCCCCACCAAGAACCACAAAGUGAUGCCGCAAACCUGCUAUUUUUUCCCCCUAAGGAUUAGCUCAAAGCAAUGUUAUCUGUGAUAUAUGAACAAGACCGAAUUAUUGAGAAUACAAACAUCACCCCUGCAAAUCCAAGCAGAGAAUUUCGAGCACGGGAAGACUUGCGCACAAACAAACUGCCUUAACAAGUUCCAAUAUCUGCUGUUUUAAAACAUGAAAAUCGUAAAAUGCACCUAUGUUAUUAUGAAACUGAAUGCUCCUUGCACAAGAGACCCAAAAACAGCAAACUUCGACUAGUGACACAAAUGAUAUCUGAAAAGGUGGCUUCAGCCCAACGAAGUGAUUUACAUCAUAUGGUAUAAUUGGAGCUUGGAAGGACUAACAUUUGAAAGGAGCACCAUCCAACACUUCCAUUGCAUUGUUGCAAGCAAACAAUGGCCGAAUUAACUUCCAAAGUGGACUAGUUAUUACGAGCACACAGCUACUACUGCAAUGUCGUCAUGCCCCGCUGGCAUAUAGACGGGUCCAUUCCUUGGCUGCACCAUUCCAAAUAAGUUCCAUCAAGUGAAGAUAGCGACAUAAGCCCACGAAAUAUCCAGAUAGGUGAACCAUCACCAAGUUAAAAUAGCUAUUGCCUGACACAAUAAUCUCAUGGCCAGGUUGUUUAUCACGAGCUGGUAGUCGUAGGAUUAUAAUCUAACCUGUUUCUACAGCUUCAGCUUCAUUUGCCUUCCAAUGCUUUGCAAUGUUGUCAGAAAGAGGGUCAUCUGGGUUUGGAGCACUCAGAAGCGCUUGAAUACUGAUAAAAAAGGGACAAUGAACAACAUCAAUUAAUCAGCAGAAGAUCGAUAACCCCCUAUAAAAUCAAGCCCCAGAUAAUGAAACCAAAAGUAUUAUAGCUUGAUUAGAAUAAUCUAAUAAAAGGCUGCUAUUAUCAUUUUCUGAGACUUAUUUCUUAAUAAUCAUGAGUAACUUGCACAUAACCCUUAAGAGUCUCAUGCGGAUAAAACCCCAGUAGUAACAGCACUUAUUAGAGAGAGAGGGAGAAAAAAAUGAAAUUUGGAAAAUAAAUUUCUCCUAGAGGAAACAAUAAAGAAUCAUCAAAAGACAGUACUAACAGUAAUAGUGCAAUGGAAAUAAUCAUGUAACCUCAGCAAUACAGUUCGAAUCUGGAGAGCUGGACUCCAUUUAUCUUUAAGAAUAUCAAGGCAUAUUCUUCCAAGCUGCAUGCAAAAUAUUAAAUUCAAAAUACGUUCUCUCCAGGAAGAUAACAAAUAAAAGAAGGUGAUCUGCUUGCCUUGUCAAUAUUAGGAUGGUAAAUCUUGGUGAGAAAGCGAACCUGUUAAAUCAACAAUUAGACCAGAAGUAGAUAGAUGGUUCAAUACACACUAUAACUGAUCAAGAUCAAAGUAGCACAAACCUCAAAAGCAAUCAAGAUCAAGAGACUCAAAUACUAUAAAUUAGCUAGUUUCAUGGAUCAUAAAUGCCUAGUGGUACAAUAAAAAUACUAAAAUACCAAGAGAAUAGAAUGGGCAGUCGAAAUGAAUUCAAAUAAAGAUAGCAAUUAAAAUGAAUUGUUCAUGAAAGAAUAAGAAAUAAGGCAAUUGAACAGCGCAUAUAACAAGUCUCAUAUGUUUAAGGUCAUCAGAUAAAAUAAGAUAUCGGCUGCAUAGGGAAGACUGAGAAAAGAUAUUCCCUCAUAACCUGUAGUUCUCUCAUAUAUAUAUUGAAAAAAAAAAAACGAAAAGGCAACAUGCCUUAAUUUUCGCAUCAAUAAAUAAGAGUAGAUGAACAUUAACAGGUACAUUAGAUGCCCAAUGUGACAGAUAAUCUAUGCAUAUUCCUAAUGUACAGGUUACUGUCAUAACCAAUGAGAAGAAUCAUCAGCUAUAGAGAGCCACAUGAAGUACAGAUAGAGAUCCAAUUAGCAAGACUUUAACAUGAGAACACUGCAAGCAUGUCCUAGAAUUUAACAUUGCAAAUACACCAAGGUAAAUUGGAAUCAGAUUUUAGUUGAUAUCCUGUCAAUGUUGAAAAACCAAAUAAUGGAGAUAAUAAUAUCAAUGACAAGAAGUGAACUUAGAGUAAAUUUACAAGAACAGUAGCAGAAGGAAAGGUCUAUGAGGGAGAGGACACCCUUCUCGAGUCGUGGAUGCGCUGUUUGAACAAUGGCUGUCAUGAUGAUAUUAACAAUCAUCCUUCACAAAACAAACACAAAAGAUGGCUAUUAUAUAAGCAUUCUGUAAUCACUAAAACAACACCUGUAUUUAGAGGGGUUUGUUUUUUGGCACUGCCACAUAGGCAUCAUAUGAUUUAUCAGAAUUAAUAAUGACCAUUAUAACUAUAUUUUUUUCGUAACUCAAAUUUCAAAAUUAACAUUUUUAGGAAACAGUUAGAAAACAAAGAAACAUCAGAGAUGAGAGGCAGCUAUCAUACUAUCAUCCACCAUCCAGUUAGCUACAGUAUAUAUAUGGUAAUAGUAUGAAUGCAUACAAGCAAGCAUGUAAAGCUUAUGUUUACGCCGCCGCUAAGAGCACAUUUCUUAAACAUACCUGCCCUCCCGCUGCACCUUCUUCUGUGUUGUGAAACAUUUUAAACUUAAAAUCUUUUAACUAUUGAUAUGUGACAAAUAAUAUUUUCAUGAUCCCAUCAUUUCAAGCCCAAUUUUUUUUAUAUAACAAAAUUACUAAAAAUGAGGGCAAAACUGCAAUAAUUAUUCGCUAUAACUAACAUCAGUUGUAACUUUUUAGGUAUCAAUUUUUUUUUUUAAAACAGGAAACACAUUAAAGCAAACCCCCGCAAUUUAUUCAAGGUGCUACAAGCAAAUAAUAGACUCAUAGGAUAACACAUGCUAGGCAUUAUUACUAACAACUUUUAUAGAUGAACACUACAAUUAAAUAGCUUAUUGGUUUAGAUUGUUAAAGUUUUUCACAAGUCACAACCAUCAGUUGAAUGAGGAGUAAAUAAUUCAACUAAAUAAUUCUACAUAGAUUUUCAUGGCAAUCAUACUCCUAUGAUCUGUCAGAGUUUUCAUAAAAUGAACAUCAUAUCUUCAUGGAUGACUAAAUUUUAGUGCUUGAAGCCUGACAGAUUCAAAUGGGGAACAAAUACAAGACAUUUUGCACAAUUUACUUUCUUCCUUACUGGAAGAAAUGCCAUGUCUCUGUUUGCAGCCAUCUGCAACAGUGAUAAGCAGGUCACUGUGCAAGACACCUAUGGAUACAUGCAGCCAUCCUAUCACUGAGGUUGUGACUGCUCCACUGACAAUCCUCAGAUUUUUCCGCUAACCAUUUAUAUCCGCUCAAUUGCUUAGCAGAAAACCAUAAGUUGGAAGUCUUCUUCAAAACUAUACGAGCAAUGAUUACAGUCAGCUUACGAUACACAACCAUCUUGGUGCACAAAUGCACGUAGUCAACCCCAUAAAAUUGGACUAAAAUUACUAAUUUCCACAUGCAUGGACCAUCAAGAUUUUUUUUCCUUUACUUGAAUGGUUGAAUCAGAAAGUGAUAUACAGAAAUUUUGUCAGUUCCACUUCACACAAGAACAAUAUGUAAGGCUAGCAUUUUUUACAUGUACGUUGAUGGUUAGGACACAUCUUUGGAUUAAGUGACAGUGAAGUAGACAUUUAGAUGCAAAUUAGCCUUCAAAGUUUUUUUUAGUACCAACUACUAGAACAGUCUAUCAUUAACAAUAUGCAAAUGACCCAUGGGAACUCUAUUGAAUGCUGUUUUACCUUCGGGGCAGCCAUAGGAUACUCUUCAGGCAAGAACAAUUCAAGCUUGAAAACCCCUCCUAUUAAGGCAAAAAAAAGACGAUAUUUCAUAUUAAUAAAAAUCAAAAGACCAAAUUGAUUAAAAAAUACAAUUUAAAUCAUUUUUGCAUAGAUCCAUUCCCUAAAAAGUGCCUCUUUAAUUACAGCUAUCUGAUGGAAGAAAUCGAUAUGUUCAUUCAAUUUCAAUAUUGAGAUCGAUACAAGUGUGGGAAUACAGGACACAAUUUAAUUAUAAGUCAUUGCAUGGAGAUAUCACUAGAAGAACCUAGAAUUAAGAUGCAAGAACCCAUAAAAUAUAGCUCAUCCUUAAUUAAAUUGGAACAUAAUAAACACACGGAAUAACUCAUAUAUAAGUAGAAAUUGUUAUCAUAUGCAAUAUGCAGGGAACACCCAGUGUAAACCAGUGUCAAAAAUAAUAACACAACUAGCGGCCAUCAUAGAUGCAAUAACCAAAAAUGAUUAAGCCUCAUGCGGAAAGAAAGGCAUAUUGACCUUUUCUCCAGAAGGUUGGUUUCAUCAACCCACUUAAGUGGUCCAAAUGCAGAUUAUAUGCAUAGGCUUAAUUGGCCAUACUUUCCAUCUUACAAAAAAAACACUAUAUCAAACUCAAAAUUUACAUGAGAAUUCUUUCAGAAUAUGGUAAUUCUAUAGGAAUUUACUAGAGAUUCAUUACGAGCCCUAGGUAGGUGAAAAUCUAUUUCAAGGAAAAAAAUCAACUAUAUAACUAUGUUUAUACCAAAGCAUCAGAUAUAGAUAAUUGGGUCUUCGGAAGUGCUGGUUCUCAUUCUGAAUCAGAGAGAAGCAAUAUCCAAACCAACUUUCAUAAACUAACAGUUUUUUCAUACAGUUUGAAUCCCACGCAUGGUCUGACGAACCAGCCCGUACCGGCCGGUUCGGACUGGUCCGGCCUGUAACCGGUACGGGCCGAACCCAGCCGAAGCCAGGGAAGACGAAGAGAAGAAGAGAGAGAGAGCAUGGAAGAGAGGGAGGGAGGAGAGGCCUCCGCCGCUUGCGAAAGGCCGUGGGGGGCGGCAGAGCCCGCAGGGGCACGGCAAAGGCCGAGGCCGCGUCCCCUAUUUCUUUCUUUCGAAAAAGGGGACGACAAAAGAAACAGGGACACGGUUGCCGAUUUCACUUAAAAAUCUCCAUUUUUUUUAAUUUGGGGACCGCAGCCUCAACCUUUGUCGCGCCCCCGCGGGCCUCGCCGCCCCCUCCCCGGCCUCCGCCUCCCCCUCGCGGGCGGCCUCUCCUCUCCUCCCUCCCUCCCCCGCUCGCUCUCUUGUUCUCUACUUAUUCCCCGGUUCCGACGGGAAAGAGUGUUCCAGUUCGGUACCGGUUUAAACAGGUCCGAACCGGAACCGUGCUGGUCCACUAGGCAACCGGUAUACCUAACAGUACCGGUACAACGAAUCUUGAUCCCACAUCUUAGCAGCUUCAGAUUUAGAUUGUGAUGGUUUCCCAGUGGAAUUUUACAUUAGGAGAUAGGUUAUUCUACUUAAGGUGUUUCAGCCAAUUCAAAAUCUUGGUCUCACUCCUGCAUCCACCCAUUCUAAUGCUUCCAACUCAUUUUAAUCAAGUAUGUUCUUCUUCCAACAUUAUUUAAUCAAAUUUAAUCUAGUUCAAUACCAUAUGUAACAUCGAUAGUUCAUCUUUCUUUUUUUAAUAUCCAUAAUUUUAUUUUCUUAAAAAGUUUAAAGGGUUGUAGUUAUAUCAUUUUCUAAAAUGUAAUGAGAUCUAACAUAUAAUCUUCCUAGGCACUUCCACUCCCCUUUUCUUCCCUUUUAAGCUCCACUUCCACGCCGCUAAAGUAGCUAACAUCUUUGGCAAAAAAAAAAGAGUAGCUAACGAAGGCAAUUCAGGUCCAGAUUUCUCACUAGCUCUUCAAUAUAUAUGUUCAUCUUAAGUCGCCUAGCAUGUAUUACUUUCCACAAUUAACAAUCAAUGAUACCAGAAUAAUCAAAAUCAUACGUAGAGCUACUAAUGGACUUGGCUUGGGCCACUCACCAUAAGUUCAAUCUUGGCCUGGAUUAAAUGAAGGCAGGCUAUACCUGGCCUGGCCCUGAAAUUCAAUUGUUUUUUUAGGGUUUAGCCCUAGGCAUGGCAUGGCCCUAAAUGAUUAGACGCAAGCCUGAUUCGGCCCAAGGCCUAAUUACAAUUUCCAUAGAUAGAUUCAUAUCUAAAAGAAGUUGAAAAUAAGUUCUUUCAAAAUUGACUAUUUGUUCUUCUGUUAGAGGUGCUGCAGAAAUGUCUGUGAUCAAGUAAAUAGCUGUACGAACGAAUGGACCGGAUAAAAAAUGGAAAGAUUCGUACAAGUUAAACAUUUCGCCAACAAUCAUUGCUCAUCCCUCCGAAACCUAUUGAUAAGGAAUGCAUUGAAGUGUAUUAAAUAAUAGGGUUUUUUGCAUGGAUACCCCCUUCUAAAUAUCGAAUUUUGCGUGAAUACCCUUUCAAAAUUGAUAUUUGCAUGUAUACCCUCGUAAAACUCGGUUAUUGUACAAAUACCCCUAAUAUAACAGUUGUUUUAACGGUGUUAAAAAAAUCAUAUUUAUAUUAAUUAAAAAUAAAAUAAAAUUUUAAACUGACGUUACUAU
rnacentral:lncRNA from 1 species